rnacentral:tRNA from 1 species
UCCCUGGUGAUCCAGUGGCUAAAACUCUGCACUCCCAAUGCAGGGGUCCCCGGUUCAAUCCCUGGUCAGGGAG